CUCCUUCUUUGACAUGACUAGCCUGGGGGAAAAAAAAAAACCCAAAUAAAUUAUUAUAUUUAACUUGCAAGAAGCAUUUUUCUCAUCAACAUGGUGUCGACUGACUUCCUCACUGCCAGUUGAGAUUGAGUGUUGAAGAUUUAUUUCUCCUGGACUCCCACAAGUUACAACUGGAGAAUUUGAAAGGCAACACCAAAAUCAGCAUGGGAGCUAAACAUCAAAAUCCUCCAGAGUUUUGGAGUGUCUACUUCUGAAACUAAUUAAGUUGGCAGCAAUAAAUUUUCAGCCUUUCCUCACA